UCAGUGUUAGAUGCAUGCAAAUUGUGACAUUAAGCCAAAAGAAAUCCAAACAGCUCAAACAUAGACAAACUACCUUCAAAGCGAAGACCCUUUGAGGGCACGGUCAACAGCAGGAGGGGCAUCAACCGGAACUUUGCUGAUAAAUAACCCAUAAAGACCCAUACCAAAUAUUAACAUGACCGUCCCGUCCCAGCUAGAUAUACAUCUGCACCAAGAUGAACAUCACAUCAGAAUUGAAAACUUUCAUGUCGGAGGAGCACUAAUUGAUGAGAAUGCAAGGACCGUCACAUGUAGGUGGUGGUGUCAAAAGCUUGAUCACAUCAUAGUUGGGAUUUGGAUAGAGCUUUCUAAACUGCACUAGCUAGCUGCCAAAUUAUAGUAAACUUGAGCAUAGCCAUACAGUUUCCAUUGGAGAUUACAGUUUUUAGUUGAUAAAUGUAUGAGCUACCUUUACAUACUACCUCCUAUUACAGAGUUCAAACUGUUUUGAAUUGCUAAAUUCUGCAUCUUGUAUCAACUAGCAAGUGCAUGGGUGAAACUGUAGAGGACGACAAAACAAACCUCAAGGUCACUAGCGUAAAUGAUUAGUACAAAUGUGUAAAACCGACUUAACUUGGAAGAACCUUUUUAUUUUAAUCUACUCCAUAAUUCCAAAAUAGCAUUACACACACACACACACACACACAUAGCUACUCUCAUCAAAAUAAAUUGUUGUAUACUAAACAUUUACAAACAAACUCACAAUUAACUAAAAUUUAUUACAAUUAGUGUUCUACAAUUACAUCAACGUGUAAUCCAACCAAGAAAGGCUCGCACAAGAAACCAUAGUUUUCAAAAUCACAGGACUGAUUGAGCCAUAUUUCAUUUAAAUAAAUGAAAAAAAAUAUUAUAUUAUAUUAUUAGACCGUCCAAUGUAAUGUUACUGGUAUAACAAAUUAGUAUAUCUGAAAACAAUACAAUACAUAACUAUUUAACUCAAAUAUCCUAUGACUUGACUCGGUGGAUCCAGUUAUGGCCACGUUCUCUCUCACAAGGGUAUCAACAAUAGGAACUAUCCAUUAAAGGUAUCAUCUUUAUGAGUGAGCUGCUGAGCACAGAAGAACCUGAAGAGCCUUGAAUACCUCUCUUCAGAGUUUUCCUACUUUUUCAAUCAAUAAUUAAAUAAAAUACAUUGUUCCUGCUGCAACAACAAAUAUUCCGUCAGAUUUCUAAAGGUUUAAUAGUUCCAAUAAAACUUAAAGGCUUACAUGCAGCUUAUGAAGACAAGUUUUAAAGCAUUUGGCCAUAAGAUUAAGGUUUAAUGCCGAGAAUACCGUUAUGUUUUUCACAAAAGUGCAAGUUAUACCAUUUUUUAUCCAAUGUAGAACCUCGAAGAUGUUAGAAACAGCACUUUUAACAAUUAUUUUUUGUCAUUUAAAUCCAAUAAUGUACAUAAUUUAAUUUAAGUGAGUUAAUGGUGUAAUCUUAUAGUCUCUCGUGGAGAACAAGAAACAAUAUUAUUUGAUUCAAGUAGGAGUUAUAUGGUGUUAGUGUUACUUAAUUAAGCCUAAAGUUGGAAAUUUGAAACGGUGUUAUGUUGUUUGAAAAAACUUAUUUUCUUUAGUCCCAUAUUGGAGAGAAACAAUACUAUUUACUACUUUAUUAGUAUAUGAGUAAUAGUAUAAUACUAAAAGGAAAGCUUGGAAAUGGUCCUAACGACAUGGAGCAAAGCACCACCUGCCAAGGUCGAGAUUGGCGCUUUAGCUUAGGCACACUUUGCAUUUUGUCACUAGGAACCUGUCUUUUUAGGAUGAAUCAAAUUAAGUGCACCUAAAAUUCAAAUGAAACAGUAUCAAUUUCUAUCAGUUGUUGAAGAAAAUUAAACAUAACUUAAUGACUUAUAUGACUGUUACCGUGAUUAUUAUGAAUGCAUAAUAAUAUAAAGAUAUGAUAACAGUUUACUACUAUGAAGCACGGAUACUCUAUUUUGGGCUCCUUAUCGCGUACCGUACGCGUAUCGGAUACGCUCCAAUACGUUACCUAUACGUUGUGAACUGUUUCGGAUACGCACGAGAUUAAAUUUGAUAUUACUUAAAAUGUGGGUGAAAAUUGUAAUUAGGCCUUUAUAAUAAAAAUCCUCAAAUUGAGAACAACACAUCACAUACCGAUCGUGUUCUCUUGUUCUCCUCUGCUGCUCCUCACCAAUCACUGAUCGUCUUCUACUGUUCUGCUCGUCGAACGUCGUCGUCGUCACCAGUCAUCGCCGUCAGUCUUCGUCGUGUAUAAGGUUUCUCCAGUCAUCGUCGUCACCAUCAGUCUUCGUCUGUGUAUAAGGUAUCUCUCUCUCUCUCUCUCUCUCGUCAGUCAUACAGUAUGACUCAUACUCAUAUUUAUUUUAGGUUUUUAAAGUGUUAUUUUUUACUGUGCUGUAAAAAAUAGACCC
rnacentral:lncRNA from 1 species